rnacentral:rRNA from 1 species
CCUACGGGAGGCAGCAGUGGGGAAUCUUGCGUAAUGGGCGGAAGCCUGACGCAGCGACGCCGCGUGCGGGACGAAGGCCUUCGGGUCGUAAACCGCUUUCAGCAGGGACGAGGCCCUCACGGUGACGGUACCUGCAGAAGAAGCCCCGGCUAACUACGUGUCAGCAGCCGCGGUAAUACGUAGGGGGCGAGCGUUAUCCGGAUUCAUUGGGCGUAAAGCGCGCGUAGGCGGCCUGUUAGGUCGGGGGUCAAAUACCGGGGCUCAACCCCGGUCCGCCCCCGAUACCGGCAGGCUUGAGUCUGGUAGGGGAAGGCGGAAUUCCCAGUGUAGCGGUGGAAUGCGCAGAUAUUGGGAAGAACAUCAGUGGCGAAGGCGACUAUCUGGCACAUAACUGACGCUGAGGAGCGAAAGCGUGGGUAGCAAACAGGAUUAGAUACCCCUGUAGUC